rnacentral:rRNA from 1 species
UACGUAGGGUGCAAGCGUUGUCCGGAAUUAUUGGGCGUAAAGAGCUCGUAGGCGGUUUGUCGCGUCUGCUGUGAAAACUCGGGGCUUAACCCCGGGCCUGCAGUGGGUACGGGCAGACUAGAGUGCGGUAGGGGAGACUGGAAUUCCGUGGUGUAGCGGUGAAAUGCGCAGAUAUCAGGAGGAACACCGGUGGCGAAGGCAGGUCUCUGGGCCGUAACUGACGCUGAGGAGCGAAAGCGUGGGGAGCGAACAGG